GCAUUUUUAAUCUCUCACAGAAAACCCUUACUAUCGCACAAAUGUCAGUUUUAAACAAAGGCCUCAAGUUUGCCCCAACAAAUUCUUUUAAACCCUUUGAAGCUUUUAUUGACGUCAACAAAUUUGUCCACAAAGCCACUCUCAAGUGAUUUUUUAUUGAAAAAAACAAUGAAAAUCCUAUUCUAAAUCCUAUUUUAUCUCCUUGCCCC